rnacentral:rRNA from 1 species
AUGUGGGCCAUUUGGUGGGCGCGCAGGCGAGCCAUCCACGAUCAGCAAUUUCAAAGUCCACUGAGCACUUUCACUUUCAUCAACAAAUUCUGUGACAACGUUCAGGUAGCCCAUGCGUGUGAUGUUAAAUUUUCCAGAGGACUGCAUGUCACAGGACAGACUCAAGCCGUUGGGUGGCUUCCACCGCCGGCGGAUGAAAUGAAGAUUAACGUGGAUGGGGCUCUUAGCCGAGACGGAAGUCGGGGCGCUGUAGCAGCGAUUUGCAGAGAUAAAAAUGGCACUUAUAUUGGAGCAUCUGUUGUUGUAUAUGAAGGUCUGGUUGACCCUCCGAGUCUGGAAGCGCAAGCUUGUAAUGAAGCUCUAUCACUAGCUCAGGACCUGAUGCAACCUUUGGUUUAUGUGGUGUCUGACUGCUUGGAAGUGAUUAACAACAUAAACUCCCAAACCCCGUGCCACUACGCUGCUGUCCUUCGUGACAUUGAUCUCCGCCGAGUUUCUUUCAGAAAAAUCAGUUUUGGUCACGAGCGUCGCCAAAACAAUACUGAAGCCCAUGCUUUGGCCAAGGCAUCUACUUUUUUUUUUUGA